CUUCACUCCGCUGAGACUCAUUUUUGGUUCGUGCUGCGAAAUAAAAACCGCCUCUUUUCCGGUCCUUUACUUCUUUGUUUGCGGGACUUGCUUUGAUUUCACUGGUGCAAUUUUCAAGGCUCGCUGUUGGAUUCGCGUCGCUCUCACCCGCCGAGAAUAUUUCUCUUGGAUAAUUGGAUUCAUUUAUUUGUACGGCGCGACCUCAGGCGAUGGUCCGUACGGCUUCUAGAUCGCCAUCAAGCUGGCGGAGGCGCUCUCCCUCCCCGUUCAGUCAUAGGUACAGCAGCAGCUGGAGAAGAAGACGUGAUCGGAGCGGAUCUCCUUAUUCAUAUAGGUGGAUGAGCUUGUUAACUCCAAAUCCUUAGAUUGGUCCUGAUAUUGUUUCUGUUAUCUUGGUUUUUACACUUAACUCGUCAUGGUAAACAAUUACUUUGUUAUGGCUUGUGCUUAACAUUCCUGGGAGAUAAGCUGAUCACAUCCAUGAGGGCGAUUAUUUCAUACAAAUUGUGGGCGGUAUUGAUCAAGAACUGUAAUUUGGGUGGUAGUUGGAAGCCCAGUUUGUAUUACGCUUGUUGAUUGAUUGCUCAAUUACCAUCGAUCAUGGAAUCAGGUUUGAUAAGGAGACAAUUUUUAAAGACUACAAAGAAAUGUUAAUUCGCUAAUUUGCCUUACAUUCUUUAAAUUUGAUCGAGAAUAGAAAUGCUGGUGGAUUACUGAUUCUGAACAUGACUUGUUUGUUGCUGAUACUACUGCUGGUGAGAUUUUCCCGUUACCUGAAAGUUUAUAAAGUUCCGUCGAUGAACAAGAACUUCUGCCAAAGGAUAAGCAUCAAUGCUACUUCUAGCCAAGAACUCCAUCUCCGUCCCCCAGCUGGCACAAAGCAGUUCUCCAACUCCUAGGCGGAGAAAAAGCCAUUCAACAUCUUCUAGGAGACGCAGAAGACAAAAAAGUAGGACCACCAGCGGUCUCCUAGCAAGUCUCAGAGUCCAGUUGUGCGGUCAGUGGAUCACAAUAGUUCCUUUGAGAAACUAAGAAAAGAAGAUGAAGAAAAGAGAAGAAAUUCUCAGGCCAGAGGCAUACAGGCUUUUGAGGGGUUUUGGAAAUAGUUGUCGUCUUUCCCAUUGCUCCUCCUGGUAGUGGUUCUGCUUAACCAAAUGAACAAGUUAUUUGACGUAGUCAUGUCUAGUUGCAGUCCUAGAUGAAGCAUCCACUGCCAUGGAACAAUCAUUAAAGUAAAGUUUCUGGAUAAUCCAAGUCAAGUGAUUUGGAUAUUGUCAAGGAAAGGAUUUAUUUGUAGCUUGUUGAUUGAAUAUAAGGGCCUCCGGAUGCAUGGACACAACGUAUGGACGAGGUCUUGCAUGGUUGAGGAUCAAAUGGGAUCAUUUGCUUAAGAGCUUUUGAGUGGACACGUUACAGCCAGCAUGUUAUUCGACUCCAAACUAGAAGCUGGAAGCAUUUCGACAAGCUUAAGGAUCGCUUUCGAGAUUUUUACUGAUGUCUUUUUGGGGAUUAUAAGAUCGUUUCUGGUGCAAUUUUGGUAUUUGGAUUAAGAUGAAGUUGGCCAACCCCUUGCCAUUCUAUCUUUGGAUAGCCCUUGUGGCAACCAUUGGUUUUGUUGGAUGGCCUUUUGCUGGACAUUCUUAUUUGGUGCUCACAUGGAGAGCUUUAUUUGUUUGAGCUGUAGACCAUUAGCUUCUGAGUCCAAUUAGUAUUUUUGCCCAACAUUACUCUUUUGUUAUUUGUUCUGAUAUUUUGAGUUUAAUUUUGGUUUUUUUUUUCUUUUUUCUCUUUUGGAGAGCUGUAUUUGUUUUACAGCUCUUUUUUUCAUUUUUUAGUUUUUGUUUGCUGCUUUUAG